AUCUGACGCUCAGGCUCCGCCCCCUGCAUGUCUUUGUUGGCAAACAGUUCUGGGGGUCGUCCGAUCCUGCAGGAAGUGGAGCCAGAAUCCACAGAUGUCAUUAUCCAUCUGCACACUUUGUUUACUACCCAGAAGGCAAGAAUAUUGCAUUUUAAAAGUGCCCGGACUUUUGUUCUUUCUUAUCACAAAUGACUUGGGAAGCUCCGACCACUCAUGUUUACCCCGAGUGAAAGUCCCAUUCAAAGCCUUGCUUCCUGGAGAGCUUUGAGAUUCUGGUACAAAAGGCAUUUUAUAAGCACAAAGUGGAAAAGCAUCAUUCAUAUUCAUUUGCUGCUGCGGCAUUUCUCCCUGGAAUCUUCCUCUUGUCUGUCAACAUUGGGCAAAAGGACUGGCCUCAUCUACAUUACAGAUAUCCUUGUGAUGGUCUGGAGGUAGGAAAAGGACACCCAGCACAAGAGUGAGAAGGGAAACUCAAGCUCUCCUGUUGGAGAGUCUCAGGCUUCUUUAUCCAUAAAACUGAUUGGACAUAAUUGGUGUGGGUUUAUGAUUUGUUUUGGAAAAACCUGAGUAUGAAAUCAAUACUGUGCUUUGUGCAUCUUGGCUGCAAUGAGUGUUUUUUAUGUGAUUGCAGGGACCUGUGGGAGAGGCGGCCAUCCAGAGGGCUCUCUGAGGGGUCAUUUAGAAUGCAACUCUUCUGGGCAGAGGAUGGUCUGCACUGGCCUCCACCACGCAGGAAGGCUUCCAGAGUGGAGAAAUGUCCACUAACAUGGCUUCUGUGAGGUGUGGGCAGCUCUUUUCUUGGUGUGGGGCUCUGUUUGGUGUGAUGUAAGAGGUAUCACAGGGCUUUCCUGUCCCAGAAGAUCUUAGUGGAUGACACCUAUGGGGGUUGCCAGCUGGAUUAGGUGAGGCAGAGCACACAGCUCUACCUAAGGGGUCCCAUUCUCAUCUGGGAAUAUUCUAGGACAUAGGACACUACCCAAGAGGCAGAGCCUGGAGUGGCAUUAUACGGGUGAAAGAUCUGAGUGCCAGGUCCAUAUAAAUGAGUGGGGUUGGGGGGAUCGAGGUGCUUAGAGAACAGGAGAGCUGCCACAGGAAGGGAUGGUACCCACAGGGAGGAAGAACCAUGUCUCAGAUUCCUUCCUUUAUACCUCUUCCUGGGACCUCCUUGGAGUCUGCAGAUCAGCUGGUGCUUCUCCAUCUCCUGUCAUCUUCUUCAAAUCUUUUCAUCACAAAAAAUUUUCAGUGUAAACCUAAGUAGAGAGAACAGUAAAAGGAACCCCCAGGGGCCGUCACCAUCACCCACCAUCAACAGCGAUCAAUGGGCCGUCUAAGUCCGUUUUCCCUACUUUCAUCCCCGCUCCAGAUUAUUAUCAAAAGUAGCUCAUCCCUAGUUAUAUUUCAUUUAAUCCUCUCAGUUGCAUUUUUUUCUGGCCACGUUCUUCUGUCUGUCAAUCAUGGUCUUAAGUCAGACAGUCUGCUGGGUUGGCUAGGAAAAGACUCUUUCUUUCUCAAGAAAGAGUUGUAAGUAAUUUUGAGAGAAAUGUUGCAGAUUGACCAAACAAGGUAUGCUUAAUUUAGUUCAAUUCAUCAGUUACUUAUUGAGUCCUAGGCUUAGUGCUGGAUUCAACAUAUCAGUCAAUCAUGGUUUCUGGCCUACAGGGUUCAGUGCUCUAGUUCUGGGUGUGCGACGAGGACCACAGCAAGUAUUCACUCAGGAAAGGCAGAAUGUGGCCACAGGGAAAGGAAAGGUACAAGGUGUGGUGGAGGUUACAAGGCAUGACAAACACACUGGGCUGGGAAUGGUAACAGUGGAAGAGGAUCAGGAAGGGUCGUGAAGCCUGAGGCAUUGGAGAGGGACUUGGAAACCUGGGCAGACAGUGGGACGGUGACUGCAAAACACUCAAGUGUGCAGGUGGGAAUGGCAGUGGGGGACAGGCGAGCCUAGCAGCGAGAACACAUGGUGCAAGGGGCCCCAUGGGGGUUCUGGGGUGGAGGAGGUAGGCAAUUGGGCUCUCAAAGAAACCCUUGGGCUUUUUCUAGCUUAAUAAUAAACAAUUAUUAUUUCUAAGGAAAAAGAAAACUGGAUUUCUAGAAGCAUGGCUAUUAAAAAAAAAACAACUCCAGACCCCAAUUAGGAAACUGAAAGGAAAUCAAAGUGGGCCUAAUGGAAAUUAGGUAGUAGGGGCAAUAAAAGAAAAUGCAGGUAGCUGCCUAAAAUCCAGUGGACUCCAGGUCCACCAGCCAGGCACCACAUUGUUUUAACCUAUAAAUGAAGUAUGUCCAUGACUCUCACUACAUAAAAUGGAAGUUAAGCCAUAGUCCUUUUCCAAUGUGAUCUGAAAAUGUACUGUUUUUGCCUCUAGCAAAGCAAAUAUAUAGACAGAAAAUUCCUAGCACUGCUUUCACGCGAGGGAUGACAAAGGUGACAGACUCGGGCAAAAUGUUCAUAUUCUAUACGUGAAAUGGAAUGGUAACUUGAUUUUUCAAAAGGAUAAGAUUCUUGUUACAAAUUUAAGCAUAUUUAUUAAAGAAAACUCAAAUUAGUAAAAUGUGAAAAGGCAAGGAAAUUCAUGGUCCCACUACCCAAAUAACAUUUUUUUUUCAGAAUUUUGGUGUCAUAUAAUGAUUUUGGAACACGCUUUUCAUACUGAAUGGCUUCAAUAUCUUAUCCCUGCUCUCUUCCACCGCCCCCCCCCCCCAAUUCAUUAUGAUUAUCAAUGAGUUUGGGGAAUUGUAUUGACUUUUUUUUUUUUUUUGAGACAGAGUCUCGCUCUGUCGCCCAGGCUGGAGUGCAGUGGCACGAUCUCGGCUCACUGCAAGCUCCACCUCCCGGGUUCACACCAUUCUCCUGCCUCAGCCUCCCAAGUAGCUGGGAUUACAGGCGCCUGCCACCAUGCUGGCUAAUUUUUUUGUAUUUUUAGUAGAGACGGGAUUUCACCAUGUUAGCCAGGAUGGUCUCGAUCUCCUGACCUCGUGAUCUGCCCGCCUCGGCCUCCCAAAGUGCUGGGAUUACAGGCGUGAGCCACCGCGCCCGGCCAGGGAAUCGUAUUGACUUUUUUAAGAGUCAAUUCUCUUUUGAACUCAGAUUUCAAAAGGGGUACAGGGAAUCAUCUCGAUAUAAGUGUUGAUAUAAAGUUUAUUCUCAGAUACUUGUGAAGCCAAAAACUCUGUGCUAACAUUUGCAGGCCUUUGGGAAAACUGUGCAUGGAGGUCUGAAUAGCAUAUGUCCAAAUAGUUGAAGUUUUUAUAAAUUAAGCUAACUCAUUAUUAAAGAAAAUCUGUUCUAGCCUCCUUCCUUGAUAAAUACACCUUCAUAACAGCUGCCCCUUGGAAGCUAUUAAAUAUGUUAUAUCCUCUUGCCUUCAUAACAGCUGUCCCUUGGCCACCCCUCUGGGUUGGGGUGCGUAUGCCCAAUCAUCUUGGGGACAGGCCCUCAAAGCAGGCUUGGAGCCGUUAGGGCCGGUUCCCUGGAGCUCCACGUGCACCUGUCUUCUCACCCUAUGUGGGGAGUGAUGGUCAGAGGAGGGCCAGAGUGGAACCGCAGCCUCAUGGGGCCCAGGGCAGGCACCUCUCUGGCUCUGGUCUGAGUGAAUCAUUCCAUAUUUCCCAUGUGCAGGUCAUGUGCUGGGUGCUGGGAACACAAAGGUGAGUAAAAGCCGUCCAGUGGGGGCACACAGACUUUCAAAUAAGUGCCCCCUAAAAUGUAAAUUUGCAACUCUGAGUUGACUCAGUCAGGAAAGUUAGGAGGAGGUCACUUUGCAAAGAAGAAAAGAGAAGAGAAUUUCAGGUGGAGAGAAAACUGGGCAAAGUCCUAGCAGCAGUGGAGAGCACAGCCAGAGUGAGGCAUGAAAAGCUAAGAGGACAUGGGGCUCAGGUGUGAGUUGGGCUGGACAGGCAGUGGGCACCAGAUUAGGAAAGGCCUCUGUGGCCUUACUAGGAAACUAGGUCUAUCCACGGUAAAAGGCUUUUAGCCAGGGGCCACAUAAUCAGGGGCAAUGAGGCUAGACCAGGCUGCUAAAUCAGUCCAGGCUAAAACUGUUCUUUUUCCCUUUUUUUUUUUUUUUUAAGAAAAGCAAAAUAUUAGACAAAGAAAUGUGAAAUAUGUAAAUAUUAAGUAGACAUUUGAUAAUAUUAAGGAAUUAAUGUUUUCUGAUAACAGUAUUGUGUGUUUUUUUUAACUUUUAUUUUAGGUUUGAGGGUACAUGUAAGGAUUUGUUACACAGGUAAAUGCAUGUCACUGGGUUUGUUGUACAGAUUAUUUCAUCACCCAGGUAUUAAGCCCAGUACCCAAUAGUUACCUUUUCUGCUGUUUCCUUCAUUGUGUUCAUAAGUUCUUAUCAUUUAGCUCCUACUUAUUUUUAUUUUUUUGAGAGGGAGUCUCGCUCCGUCGCCCAGGCUGGAGUGCAGUGUUGCCAUCUUGGCUCACUGCAAGCUCCGCCUCCCAGGUUCAUGCCAUUCUCCUGCCUCAGCCUCCCGAGUAGCUGGGACUACAGGCGCCUGCCACCGCACCCAGCUAAUUUUUUUGUAUUUUUGGUAGAGAUCAGGUUUCACCUUGUUAGCCAGGAUGGUCUCAAUCUCCUGACCUCAUGAUCCGCCUGCCUCGGCUUCCCAAAGUGCUGGGAUUACAGGCGUGAGCCACCACGCCUGGCCCAUUCAUCUCUCACUUAUAAGUGAGAACAUGCAAUAGUUGGUUUUCUGUCCCUCCAUUAAUUUGCUAAGAAUAAUAAUUUGCCUCUAGCUCCAUCUGUGUUCCCACAAAAGCCAUGAGCCCAUUCCAUUUUUAUGGCUGCAUAGUAUUCCACGGUGAAUAUGUACCAGAUUUUUAAAUCCGAUCUGUCAUUGGUGGGCAUUUAGGUUGAUUCCAUUAGACCUGAUAAUUCUUUGGAAUAGUAGCGGAGAGGAGGAGAUGGAGUGAGGCAGACAGGCUUCAGGGGGAUGUAGAAAGUCAGAUGGCCAGGGCUUUGGGUAUGGAUUGGGUUAGGACUGAGGAGCAAAGUAGGUACCAGGCAUAUCUAGUUGGAUGAACCAUGUAUUAGUCUGUUUUCACACUGCUAUAAAUAACUAUCUGAGACUGGGUCAUUUAUAAAGAAAAGAGUUUUAAUUGACUCACAGUUCUGUAUGGUGAGGGAGGCCUCAGGAAACUUACAGUCAUGGCAGAAGGCAAAGGGGAAGCAAGGCAUGUCUCACAUGGCAGCAGUACGGGGUGGGGUGCCACACUUUAAAAACCGUCAGAUCUCAUGAGAACUCACUAUCACGAGAACAGCAUGAGGGAAACUGCCCCCAUGAUCCAAUCACCUUCUGCCAGGUCCCUCCUUUGAUAGGUAGGCAUUACAAUUCUAGAUGAGAUUUGGGUGGGGACACAGAGCCAAAUCAUAUCAAAUGGGAUGGAUGAGCUGGGGACACUGAGAGAGGAUGAGGACUGAAGUCCGGGGAGUUCAUGAGCUGGCUUUGGGACAUGUGCAUUUUGAGAUGCCUUUGGGACAUCUGAGAGGGCAGCAAGUAGACACGAGCAGGUACUGCCAAGCUAUGAAAAGAGGUUGGGGCUGGGCAUGGUGGCUCACGCCUGUAAUCCCAGCACUUUGGGAGGUCGAGGUGGGCGGAUCACUUGAGAUCAGGAGUUCGAGACCAGCCUGGCCAACAUGGUGGAACCUCAUCUCUAAUAAAAUACAAAAAUUAGCUGGGUAUGGUGGCGGGCACCUGUAAUCCCAGCUACUCGGGAGGCUGAGGCAGAAGAAUCGCUUGAACCCGGGAGGUGGAGGUUGCAGUGAGCUGAGAUUACACCACUGCACUCCAGCCUGGGCGAAAGAGUGAGACUCACUCUCAAAAAAAAGGGCGGGGGAGAGAGGGAGAGAUUGGGGCUGCAGAUUUAAAAUAUGUAGGAGCCAUCCCCAUGAGAGGUAAGCCAUGGAGGCGAUACCUGGGGAAAGGUACCUGCCUGCCUACCUGGUAGAAAUGAAACAGUCCAAGCUUUCCAAUGUGGAUGAGAACUUUAGAAAUGAAAUCACACAAGCAGUGAACUAAAAUGAGACAGGCAAACCUUCUAGCAACCUUGCAUCUGACAUUUGUCACUGUAAACCUGCUUGUCAUACACAAAUCACUUGCAACCACAAGGAGGACUGUGGAUCAGUUGGUCACUCUGCCCAGGUCUUUGUAUGCCUGUGACUUUAAAUCAGGUUCUUGUGACUUGCACAGCAUUUUGUGCCGUGUAUUUGUAAAGAUAUCUUGCCAGCAUAUUUUAUGCUUCAGUUAAUUUAGUUGACAUCUAAUUUAGUUGACAUAUAAAAAUAAAAUCAAUUUUCAGACAAAAUACCCAUAAAAUAAGUGAAAUGCUGUAAUAGGUUUCAAGAAAUUAAAAUGUAAUAUAUUUAGGCUUCUAUUCUAAAGCAAUUUGAUCUAGAAUAGCAGAUACUGUAGAUGUAAUUUUUUCCAUGAAUUCUUGUCAAUUAUAUAAUAAAUGUUGCUACUAUAUAUUGAGAAAUUUAUUGCUUGGAGUUGUUUGUCAUAAAAAAAUGAAAAUUUUUGUUGGGGUUUCCUUUAAAAUGCCAAAGAGCCUAAAUAUGAAUACUUCGUAUAUUGAUGUUCAGGCUGUAAUUAAGCCAUGACAGAGAUUAUUACUUUGGAUGUAAACACUAUCAAAUUUUCAUUGGGUGAGUUCUUUUUAAAUUAAUGUUGAGUUAUGUUCUGUUUAUUAUCCUGUUUGCCUUACGUUUCCUGUCGUUUUCCAGUUGUCUGCUUGAAUUCUGUUUUUCAAUAGUGAUUUAGCAACUGAUAAUGUAUAUUGAUUUCAGUUUUGCUUCUAAUUUACAUUUGUAUCUGUUUGGUUGAUGUAUUUGGCUUAAUCAUUUUAUUUUUAUAAGCAGUUGUACAAUUUGUUAAUUUAGCUAGAUGAUUAAAUUUGGCUUCUAAAGAGUUUGUUUUAGAAAAUAGUCCCUGAAGUAAAUUAGUGUUUGGCAUUUCCAACAUGUCAAAGGAGCUGGUCUCUUAAAGAUAACUAGAAAUGUAACUCUGAAUUCUUAAAAGUGGUUUUGUAAUUUUAAACCUCUGACUAUAUGGAGCUGUAUAUUCCAGUAGGUGGUGCAAAUCGACUCCAUUUCAAAUGGAAAUGUAAUUUAAACUUGUGAUGUAACUGUUUUCACUGUAAAAAUAAUAUUUCAACAUGUUUCGCAACUGCAAAAUUAUUUUCCUCUCUUUCUAAAGGAAGCUUGAUUUACCCUCUCAAUGCUCAUUUUUCUUAUGGUUUAU
rnacentral:lncRNA from 10 species